GGUUAUUUGAUAACUAUGGUCACAUCAGUUUUGGGAGAUAAACCGCUUCGGUUUGACACAAAAUGAAACCGUGCACCAACCAAACUGGUUCUUUUUUUGUUACUCAUGACGGUGUUCCAUAGUAGGACAAUGUUGACAAGUAAAUAACGUAAAAUCGACAACAGGUAAACGAAAUAAACAAACAAAAGCUUUGUAUGGUGACCUCGCGGAUUUUGUUGUGGUGUAAUUUCAUGGGCCACGUUUGGGUAUUAUUGUAACUUUUGAACUGAUUUUGUGACGUUGUAUUUACGGUGUCUAACCUUAAUCACGCCUAGAAACAGGGGUUUUAUAUCGUUUAAGGGAUUCUGUACUUUUAAAAGAUUUUCAAGUUUCCUGAAAGUAGGAAGAAAGAAACCGAAAUUAUGGACAAUGGUGGAUCGCUGACAUUCACAAGAUCUGGAACAAAGAAAUUAAAAAUCCUGGUUGUGAUUAUAGCUGUAAUAAUUAUUGUUGCAGCACUUUCAAUAUUAUUAGCCUUGUUUGUGCCUAGAAAUGACAUCAUCAGCAAUACGUCAGAAGAAAUGGAUACCAAAGUUAUGCAGAUUACAGAUGUUCAAGUAGCCAAUGAAACGUUCCAUGAAACUUGAUGAAACUCUUUAUUCAAUAGCAUUAAGGAUCGAAAUUGGCUUAUUCCGAUUUGAGUAUUUCCGAAUCGGCGAUAUCAUUGAAAUAUUUUUGUAUAUGGAUGUAAAUCAACAGACGGGGUCUCAGGCAUGGGAUGGAAUUUUGUAUAAUGGUAUUCAAAUAUUUUGCGAUGAAAGAAAGCAGGCUGUAUGUAACUGAAGAAUAGCUAACGCCUACCCGAAUCGUGUAUAUUUACUUAUAUUUCUCUUCUUGUCAAUGUGUUCAAAACAUUUAUAUUGGUAAUUUAAAAUAUAACAAAGAUUAUUAUAAAAUGUAGUUACUUUAGUAACGGAUUUUUAUCGACUCAAGCCUCUAUCCGUUACUGGCUGAUGCUAUAUACAAUUAAUAUGAAAAUAAGGCUUUUUCCCUAUCUCGGUUCUAAGGCUAUUUUAGAAUCCUUACCUUCUAUUUGUCAUCGUUAUUCUUCUUUGUUCGCGAAAGGGAAUCAUUUCUUGCCACAUCAGACACAAAUUUAUAAUAAUCUAACACUAUUUUCAUGUAGAAUAAAGCGAUCCACAAACACAAACAAAAUUCAUUUGAAAUGAUCUGCCAUUAUGAAACUCAAGCCUGCGCAGACCGGAGGUCACGGGUUCAUAGCCGCGCUCAGCCAAAAUUUCAAAUUUAUAAAUGGAAUGUUACCGUAAAAGAAAAUUCUUGGAUUAUUAUAAAUUUGUGUCGGAUAUGACAAGAAAUGAUUCCUUUUGGCAAACAAAGAAGAAUCACGGUGAAAAAUAGACGGUAGGGAUUCUAAAAUAGCCUUAGAACCGAGAUAGGGGGAAAGCCUUAUAUUAGUUGUAUAUAGCAUCAGCCAGUGACGAAUAUAGGCUAGACCAUUAAGAAUCCGUUACUAAAGUAACUAUAUAAAAUGGUGCGUGUAUGUAAUUUCUUUCACAAAUUAGUGCGGGAAUUAUUUCUAACCCGAUAACAAAGUGAGCCGGGUUACAAAGACCUUUAAAUGCUUGUUUUAUCCACCAAUUGAAAGUCGAUAUAGAACUUUUCUUUUCAGCAAACCUAUAGUAAAAAAAUAAAAUAAAUAACAUUCCAA